UUGAACGCUGGCGGCAUGCUUUACACAUGCAAGUCGAACGGCAGCGCGGGCUUCGGCCUGGCGGCGAGUGGCGAACGGGUGAGUAAUACAUCGGAACGUGCCCAGUAGUGGGGGAUAGCUCGGCGAAAGCCGGAUUAAUACCGCAUACGACCUGAGGGUGAAAGCGGGGGAUCUUCGGACCUCGCGCUAUUGGAGCGGCCGAUGGCAGAUUAGCUAGUUGGUGGGGUAAAGGCCUACCAAGGCGACGAUCUGUAGCUGGUCUGAGAGGACGACCAGCCACACUGGGACUGAGACACGGCCCAGACUCCUAAGGGAGGCAGCAGUGGGGAAUUUUGGACAAUGGGCGAAAGCCUGAUCCAGCAAUGCCGCGUGUGUGAUGAAGGCCUUCGGGUUGUAAAGCACUUUUGGCGGGAACGAAAAGGACUGUGCCAAUACCACGGUUCGAUGACGGUACCCGCAGAAUAAGCACCGGCUAACUACGUG
rnacentral:rRNA from 1 species